GGGGGGAGGUCGGAUUCUUGGCUAUGUCCCCGGCGCCCUGUGCUCCUGGGCCUGUGCUGUUGGAUUCGUGCUCCUGGCCGGACAGCCCCCU
rnacentral:pre_miRNA from 1 species